GAUGAACGCUGGCGGCGUGCCUAAUACAUGCAAGUCGAGCGAACAGACGAGGAGCUUGCUCCUCUGACGUCAGCGGCGGACGGGUGAGUAACACGUGGAUAACCUACCUAUAAGACUGGGAUAACUUCGGGAAACCGGAGCUAAUACCGGAUAAUAUAUUGAACCGCAUGGUUCAAUAGUGAAAGACGGUUUUGCUGUCACUUAUAGAUGGAUCCGCGCCGCAUUAGCUAGUUGGUAAGGUAACGGCUUACCAAGGCAACGAUGCGUAGCCGAACUGAGAGGGUGAUCGGCCCCACUGGAACUUAGACACGGUCCAGACUCCUACGGGAGGCAGCAGUAGGGAAUCUUCCGCAAUGGGCGAAAGCCUGACGGAGCAACGCCGCGUGAGUGAUGAAGGUCUUCGGAUCGUAAAACUCUGUUAUUAGGGAAGAACAAAUGUGUAAGUAACUAUGCACGUCUUGACGGUACCUAAUCAGAAAGCCACGGCUAACUACGUG
rnacentral:rRNA from 1 species